UCUUAUGGAUGAGCUAAGAAAGUAGUUUUUUGAGAUGGAAGCUACUAGUGAAGAUGCUGUGAA
rnacentral:pre_miRNA from 1 species